rnacentral:lncRNA from 1 species
GAAAAUUUUUGCCCUUGGCCUGUAAAGAAGUUGUGUACAUUUAUUUGAAUCAUCUUUCUACUUUAUUUGUAAACAGAGAUUUUCACCUCUUUUGACACGGAUGGUUCUGGUAAACUGAGCAUGACUGAGUUGGGUAAUGCUCUUUGUCUACUGGGUAUAGAUCUAACGGAUGAGGAACUAACAGGCACCUACCACAUUGACGACGAUCCAGAAUCUUUGACAGAAGAGGAGUUUGCUUUGUACAUUCGAGAAAGAAUAGGAAAUAUCGACUUCCGUAAACGAUGUGAAGGACUGUCUACGCGAGUUUGACGAGGAUGGGUCAGGUUUGUUGAGCAGAGAUACUUUGAAGACAAUCCUCACACAGCGGGGCUCUUAUCCAAUGAGUGAUGAAGAUGCAGAAGCCCUUUUGGAUGAAUGUGACGCCAAUGCCGACGGUUACUUUAAUGUUACAGAAAUGGCAGACUUGAUGUACAAUAUACCUAAGGUUCAUGAAGGCGAAGAGAGCCAGGCGAUAGAAAAUGUGUAAACAGGAGAAGGAACCAAAUUAAAAAAAAAACAAGAAGAAGAAGAACAACAA